UACGUAGGGGGCAAGCGUUGUUCGGAUUUACUGGGCGUAAAGGGCGCGUAGGCGGCGCGUAAAGUCGGACAUGAAAUCAUUAGGCUCAACCUAAUGGCUGUGUCCGAUACUUACGUGCUUGGAGUGCGGGAGAGGCAGCCGGAAUUCUCGGUGUAGCGGUGAGAUGCGUAGAUAUCGAGAGGAACACCGGUGACGGAGGUGGGUUGCUGGACCGACACUGACGCUGAGGCGCGAAAGCUAGGGGAGCAAACCGG
rnacentral:rRNA from 1 species